GUGUUCAUUUUGGCAGCACAUAUACCAAAAUUGGAAUGAUACAAAGAUUAGCAUGGCCCCUGUGCAGGAAUGACACACAAAUUCGCAAAGCUUUCCAUAUUUUU
rnacentral:snRNA from 1 species